AUGGACUUAUUUGGCCCUACUCACUACUCUACUCUCACUACCACUGCUUGUCUCUAUGGCUUCGUCAUUGUUGAUGAUUAUUCAAGAUAUACAUGGGUGCAUAUAAUUCUCUACAAGACUGAAGUGCAGGAUGUCUUCAGACGCUUCGCCAACCAUGCUGUGAACAACUAUGUCGUCAAGAUCAAGCACAUCAGAAGUGACAACGGCACAGAGUUCAAGAACACCGGCCUCGACCUUUACCUGGAUACAUUAGGCAUCACCCACGAGUUCUCCGCUCCAUACACUCCUCAGCAAAAUAGCAUCAUGGAGCGCAAGAACAGAACACUCAUUGAGAUGGCUCGGACGAUGCUUGAUGAAUACAAGACUCCAAGAAAGUUCUGGCCUGAAGCUAUUGAUACUGCAUGCCAUGUCAUCAACCGUGUUUAUCUUCACAAGCUUCUGAAGAAGACAUCCUAUGAACUCCUCACUGGUAAGAAGCCAAAUGUCAGUUACUUCAGAGUAUUUGGUGCUUAG
rnacentral:rRNA from 1 species